rnacentral:rRNA from 1 species
GACGAACCGUGCGAACGUUAUUCGGAAUUACUGGGCGUAAAGCGCGCGCAGGCGGCUUUGCAAGUCGAGUGUGAAAUCCCCAGGCUUAACUUGGGAACUGCAUUCGAGACUGCAUAGCUAGAGUAUGGGAGAGGGAAGUGGAAUUUCAGGUGUAGCGGUGAAAUGCGUAGAUAUCUGAAGGAACAUCAGUGGCGAAAGCGACUUCCUGGACCAAUACUGACGCUCAUGUGCGAAAGCGUGGGGAGCAAACAGG